GCUCUUCCAGGUGUGGUAAUGGAAGGUGCAGAUCAACCGCCAUUCUCUGUUCCGGAUCCGAUGGCUGUGGAGACAACAGCGAUGAAGAAAAAUGUUCGGUUUGCAGUUGCACGAGACCGACGAUAGCGUAGCAGUGACAGGCAGGAGAGAAACGCACGUGCCACCCCCCCCCAACUCCCAACUCGACCUUCAUUGCACCGAAGCGGUUCUGAAGUCGAUCUGUUUCACUGUUGUGUGAUUACUUAUUACCAUUACUUGUAUAUACGCAUUUUAAAGGGGUUUUAUAUAGGAGAAAUGGCUGUAGUGUAAGACAGCUUUCUGGGAAGGUAAAUGGCACUGUGGUGAUCGUUGUAUCACAGGUGGCACUAUGGCAUAUACGGGCUUACAGUGCCAUUCGUUGCUACUGUAAAGUGGUCAUUUAGCCGGCAGGUCAGUAACUAUUAUGUUUUUAGAAGCCUGUGAUUGGUUAGGACGCACUGAUUUUCAGGAUCAUGGCAAUCCAAUGUUUAGCAUCAGAGACAGAUUUUUUAUGACAGAAUUCGAUUUAUGACAGAAGACACAGGUGUAUAAUUUUUUUUAAAGAUUAGAGAUUGUGUUUGAAGUGUGGCUAUAAUAGAAUUCCAGUCAUUUAUAAGAAUAAAAUACUUAGAGAUUUGAUAACCUCACGCCAUUCAGAGUCAAUACCAGUCAAUAAGACAAUAAUCUGACCUCUCCUGACCUUUCUUUGUAUCAAGUAAAAUGUAAAUACACACCAAGAUAUCCAUAUUUUGGAUGCACGGAGAAUGAAUGACAUAAUGCACCUUAAUUCCUAGUUCCAAGCAUGAUGUGUUUUUUAUCUGUAACUUAAUUUCAAUUUAUCGAUAUUAUAAUGUUGGAAUGGAAUGUAACCUUGGCUAGCUUUUGAGAAAAAAUAUUAUGAUGUCACGAUGACUCAACAUAUAUUUGCAACGUUAUAUGAAAUGAUAAUAAUAAUACAGUCCUUUGUGAUAUAUCCAAACGUCCUUCACAGAUGUUUCAUGACUGAAGUGAAAAUUGAAUGGUGACCUUUGGUAUCAUUAUUUUCGUAAUUGUUCUUCUUGUUGUUAUUAUUAUUAUUAUUACUAUUAUUAUUAUUAUUAUUAUUAUUAUUAUUAUUAUUAUUAUUAUUGUUACUAUUACUUCUACCCUUAUUAUUAUUAUUGCUAUUAUUAUUAUCACUAUUAUUAUCAUUAAUAUUAUUAUUAUCAUUACCUUUAUCAUCAUUACUAUUAUUAUUAUCUUUAUUAUUAUUAUCAUUAUUAUUAUUAUUAUUUCAUUUAGGUGCUUUUCAUAUGUCGUCAUUCUCUUUUCAUAUAUUCCAAGGUAAUUUGUGUUCGUAUGUGUGUUUUAUGGUGCUAUGUUUGAGAAAUGUUAUUGUGACUUUGUGAAUGGAAUUUUCAUGCGUGUCGUUCGCUUACUUAGUACAUUUUCGCUGAAAGACACGUCAGCUUCAUGAAGUCACUUUAAUGUCAUUAUUUGUAUAUUUAAUAUCUUAGAUAAUGUAUCGUAUUUUAAGCUCUUUUUUCAACAGAAUAAAUAAUUGAGUGUGAA